rnacentral:rRNA from 1 species
AUCCGGGUGGGAGACAGUGUCAGGCAGGCAGUUUGACUGGGGCGGUCGCCUCCUAAAGAGUAACGGAGGCGCCCAAAGGUUCCCUCAGAAUGGUUGGAAAUCAUUCGAAGAGUGUAAAGGCAUAAGGGAGCUUGACUGCGAGACCUACAAGUCGAGCAGGGUCGAAAGACGGGCUUAGUGAUCCGGUGGUUCCGCAUGGAAGGGCCAUCGCUCAACGGAUAAAAGCUACCCCGGGGAUAACAGGCUUAUCUCCCCCAAGAGUCCACAUCGACGGGGAGGUUUGGCACCUCGAUGUCGGCUCAUCGCAUCCUGGGGCUGUAGUCGGUCCCAAGGGUUGGGCUGUUCGCCCAUUAAAGCGGUACGCGAGCUGGGUUCAGAACGUCGUGAGACAGUUCGGUCCCUAUCCGUCGUGGGCGCAGGAAAUUUGAGAGGAGCUGUCCUUAGUACGAGAGGACCGGGAUGGACGCACCGCUGGUGUACCAGUUGUCUUGCCAAAGGCAUCGCUGGGUAGCUAUGUGCGGACGGGAUAAGUGCUGAAAGCAUCUAAGCAUGAAGCCCCCCUCGAGAUGAGAUUUCCCACACGCAAGUGGUAAGAUCCCUGAAAGAUGAUCAGGUAGAUAGGUUCGAGGUGUAAGCAUGGUGACAUGCGCAGCUGACGAAUACUAAUCGAUCGAGGACUUAACCAA